AGCGAACGCUGGCGGCAGGCUUAACACAUGCAAGUCGAGCGGGCACUUCGGUGUCAGCGGCAGACGGGUGAGUAACACGUGGGAACGUACCCUUUGGUUCGGAAUAACGCUGGGGAACUAGCGCUAAUACCGGAUACGCCCUUUUGGGGAAAGGCUUGCUGCCGAAGGAUCGGCCCGCGUCUGAUUAGCUAGUUGGUGGGGUAAUGGCCUACCAAGGCGACGAUCAGUAGCUGGUCUGAGAGGAUGAUCAGCCACACUGGGACUGAGACACGGCCCAGACUCCUACGGGAGGCAGCAGUGGGGAAUAUUGGACAAUGGGCGCAAGCCUGAUCCAGCCAUGCCGCGUGAGUGAUGAAGGCCUUAGGGUUGUAAAGCUCUUUUGUCCGGGACGAUAAUGACGGUACCGGAAGAAUAAGCCCCGGCUAACUUCGUG
rnacentral:rRNA from 1 species